rnacentral:lncRNA from 1 species
AUUUCACCCUCUUUGGGUGGAAUGAGUUGAGCUGGAAGAAGAUUUUUUGGCUGUUUGGUGUCCCAAGCUACAGCUGGGCUAAUUUUCAGUAAUCUUGGAGCGGAAGAGAUAAAUACACUUGGCAUAUUUUUAAAGCCACAGCUCUUGCUUUGUGCCCAAAAUAACUCUGCCAUUUCUAGGUUAAGAGUAUAAAGACAUCAUGUGCUGCGAACCCAGAUUCAAACAUUGGAAUGGCUGGUCUUAAGGAUAUGCACACACCUCCCAGGACUGUCAUUGCUAUGACAACGGCAGAAGUAUGUUUUUCCCCUUGCAAUCUGGCAAUAUUAGCUCUCUAAUGAAUUGCUUCAAC